rnacentral:rRNA from 1 species
UGAAUUUAAGCAUAUUAAUAAGCGGAGGAAAAGAAACUAACAAGGAUUCCCCUAGUAACGGCGAGUGAAGCGGGAAGAGCUCAAGCUUGAAAUCUGGGGCGCUUGCGUCUUCAGAAUUGUAGUUGAGAGAAGUGCUUUCACCGGGAUGAGCGAUGGCCUAAGUUGCUUGGAACAGCACGUCAUAGAGGGUGAGAAUCCCGUCUGUGGUUGGUCGCACGCUCGGAACGAUGCACUUUCGAAGAGUCGGGUUGUUUGGGAAUGCAGCCCAAAAUGGGUGGUAAACUCCAUCUAAAGCUAAAUAUUGCCACGAGACCGAUAGCGAACAAGUACCGUGAGGGAAAGAUGAAAAGCACUUUGAAAAGAGAGUUAAAAGCACGUGAAACCGUUGAAAGGGAAACGCGCUCGGCUAGCAAUGCACGCCUGUGGUUCAGCCGGCUAGUCUUGCGAGUCGUCGUGUGGCGGAUUCGAAUGAACCGUCCGCGGCGGCUUCGUUGGGCGAGCUGUGGUGCACUCCAUGGACGUGCGCGUCAGCGUCGGUUUCCGACGAGCGAUGAGGUGCUAGGGGAAGGUAGCUCGGCUCUUCGGGGGCGAGUGUUAAGACCCUGGUGCUGGGUUCGUCGUGGGACCGAGGAGAGAGAUGAUCGCUGCGGCACCUGCCUUUCGGGGCUAGCCAGUCGUUGUCAGAUGUGCGUCAGGCGUUGUGGACUGCACGCAGUGCUCGAAGUCGAGGCGUCGUCUGGUGGCGGUGUGGGCAUAGAGGUGCCUAGGACGC